AUUGAACGCUGGCGGCAGGCUUAACACAUGCAAGUCGAGCGAGCGGCGGACGGGUGAGUAAUGUCUGGGAAACUGCCUGAUGGCGGGGGAUAACUACUGGAAACGGUCGCUAAUACCGCAUACCAUCAGAUGUGCCCAGAUGGGAUUAGCUAGUAGGUGGGGUAAUGGCUCACCUAGGCUACGAUCCCUAGCUGGUCUGAGAGGAUGACCAGCCACACUGAAACUGAGACACGGUCCAGACUCCUACGGUCGGCAGCAGUGGGGAAUUUUGCACAAUGGGCGAAAGCCUGAUGCAGCCAUGCCGCGUGUAUGAAGAAGGCCUUCGGGUUGUAAAGCACUUUCAGCGAGGAGGCGUUACUCGCAGAAGAAGCACCGGCUAACUCCGUGCCAGCAGCCGCGGUAAUUC
rnacentral:rRNA from 1 species